UGUAAUAUGCCUGAGAAAAGGGUUAUCUUGACGUGGUAAUUAUGUAUAUGUACUAUUACAA
rnacentral:tRNA from 1 species